UUGAUAGAAGCCAAAGGUAGAGGCGUAUUACUGUUAAUAAUAUAACUGAAAGUUUUUCCUGUCAAG
rnacentral:tRNA from 1 species